CUGGCUGUGUGCCUAAUACAUGCAUGUCGAGCGGAGUUCUUCGGAACCUUAGCGGCGAAUGGGGUGAGUAACACGUACUUAACGUACCUUUUAGAUUGGGACAACGAUGAGAAAUUAUCGCUAAUACCGGAUACUUAUAAGGAAAGCAUCUUCCUUAUAUAAAAGGAGCAUUCAAGCUCCACUAAAAGAUCGGGGUGCGGAACAUUAGCUAGUUGGUGAGGUAAUGGCUCACCAAGGCUAUGAUGUUUAACGGGGUUGAGAGACUGAUCCGUCACACUGGGACUGAGAUACGGCCCAGACUCCUACGGGAGGCAGCAGUAGGGAAUUUUCCACAAUGGACGAAAGUCUGAUGGAGCGACACAGCGUGCAGGAUGAAGGCCUUCGGGUUGUAAACUGCUGUUAUUUAGGAUGAAAAAAUAGUAGAGGAAAUGCUAUUAUCUUGACAGUACUAAAUCAGAAAGCAACGGCUAACUAUGUGCCAGCAGCCGCGGUAAUACAUAGGUUGCAAGCGUUAUCCGGAAUUAUUGGGCGUAAAGCGUCUGUAGGUUGUUUGUUAAGUCUGGCGUCAAAACUUGGGGCUCAACCCCAAAUCGCGUUGGAUACUGGCAAACUAGAAUUGUGUAGAGGUUAACGGAAUUCCUUGUGAAGCGGUGAAAUGCGUAGAUAUAAGGAAGAACACCAACUUGGCGAAGGCAGUUAACUGGGCACAUAUUGACACUGAGAGACGAAAGCGUGGGGAGCAAACAGGAUUAGAUACCCUGGUAGUCCACGCCGUAAACGAUGAUGAUUAGCUGAUGGGAACCAUCGGCGCAGCUAACGCAUUAAAUCAUCCGCCUGAGUAGUAUGCUCGCAAGAGUGAAACUUAAAGGAAUUGACGGGGAUCCGCACAAGCGGUGGAGCAUGUGGUUUAAUUUGAAGAUACGCGUAGAACCUUACCCACUCUUGACAUCUUCUGCAAAGCUAUAGAGAUAUAGUGGAGGUUAACAGAAUGACAGAUGGUGCAUGGUUGUCGUCAGCUCGUGUCGUGAGAUGUUCGGUUAAGUCCUGCAACGAGCGCAACCCCUUAUCCUUAAUUAAAUACCUUAAGGAGACUGCCCGGGGUAACUGGGAGGAAGGUGGGGACGACGUCAAAUCAUCAUGCCUCUUACGAGUGGGGCAACACACGUGCUACAAUGGAAGGUACAAAGAGAAGCAAUAUGGCGACAUGGAGCAAAUCUCAAAAAACCUUUCUCAGUUCGGAUUGUAGUCUGCAACUCGACUACAUGAAGUCGGAAUCGCUAGUAAUCGUAGAUCAGCUACGCUACGGUGAAUACGUUCUCGGGUCUUGUACACACCGCCCGUCACACCAUGGGAGCUGGUAAUGCCCGAAGUCGGUUUAGUCAACUACGGAGACAACUGCCUAAGGCAGGACUGGUGACUGGGGUGAAGUCGUAACAAGGUAUCCCUACGAGAAC
rnacentral:rRNA from 2 species